GACUUUGCUGUCUAAUCGGCACCCCAGCUUCCUCGAAAGCUUUCUUCUUCAAGGUAGUUCGAAUCUGUGAGCUGCAAACGAGAGAACAAAUUGGGAAACAUAUUGUCAAUCCUGACUAAGAAAUUGAGAGACCGUUUUCGAGACCGACGUCUCAAAGUGGCCUCGUCGUCUUAACUUACACCGUUCGUCCUUUUAUGCGUUCGCUUAUUUUGCUCAAGUCUUCGCUGAAGGUCUUUACCGAAUGACGGAGCAUCUCAAUUUCCUCGUCAGUCCAUUUACUAAAGAACAGGGUUCUUAUUUACAUAUACUUAUAUACAAUUUUGAAGAGAAGAAGAAAAGAAAAAGAAGUUACACCAAGUUCUCAAUAAAGUGUUACGUAGAAACAUAUGUUUAAAUUGCGAUUCGAAAAGCGCGCUCCCCGGCACGCUUGGUACGUUUCUAUUGGUUCUAGUCACGUGACACUAUUCAUCAUGGCGACCAUAAGAUGCCGGUGAUACGAUCGAAAAACAAAAAUAUAUGUUUCAGAUUAAAAUUACCCUGCCGGGGAGUCCGUCGUUGGAUGAAGUUGCAUCGUUAGCUCGCCGAGCUUUCCAAAGGCAGCUCCAGCCGCGGUGAAAAUCUCACCGACCUACAAGUACGACAACAAAAAGACAUCUCGAUGAAAUAAAAAGAACUCGAUAAUUUUAUACUUAUCUUCUAGCCUUCUAAGGAACACUAAAGCUCCAUUGCUCUUGGCAUAGCGAAAAGAGAUAGAAGAGAGAAAGAGAGCGAGUGAGAGCGAGCGAGCGAACGGAAUGCACGUGACUCAAGAGCGGUAGAAAAAGGAAGAACGAGAGCGGUGGGGAGAGAACGGCUGCUAAGCACUAUGUGGCGGGAAAGUGCCUAAAAUCAUCGACUAUGAGCCCCUUUUCUUUCGCUUACCUUGCUCGCAGAGUUCAUCUCACAAAGAGUUUGUUGUUGCGCGCAUACGCCUGACGCUUAGUGCAAAGGAAAUAACUCGUACGGUGGAUCCACAUAGAGAUGGAGAAACAAAAGACAACGUCGAAGUGGGUUCUUCCAAGUUUCCUGAGAUACCUCGAGAUGGUCGGGUCGCACUCGGAAGAAAGAAAUUCACCGUACUCGAAGGUAAUUCGAUCUGGGCGAGGAUUACUUUUCCGCGAUCUCUCGAUAAGGAUCGGAUCGAGAUCUAUACCCAGCAGAAAUAUGUCAAGUCUUUCUUCUUCGCAAUUCGUUAAAUUAACAUUGAAAAAAUCGUAUAGCUUGUACGUCAGUUCCUAUGUAACACGAGAAAUAUAUUUUGUAGGCUCUGAAGAAGA
rnacentral:lncRNA from 1 species